GUCUAGGAGCAGUGACAGAUGUUUAAAAGUGAAUGAAGUUGCAGUUUACAGUCUGCAGGCUCCAGAGCCAAGGAACAGAGCUGAGUUUUUAAAAUACAUUCCACACUCUAGAAGCGGGGCUGGAAUGAGACAACAGGGCUGGAACGAGAAAGAAGUUUGGAGCGGGACAAAGGGCUUGAAUGAGACAAAGGGCUGGGACGAGACAGAAGGUUGGAGCUGGAAGCUGGAGACCGGAGGAAGGAACCAGAAAGCAAGGCACAGGAGGACUCAGGACGAGACACAGAGAGAAAGAAAGAAAUAGACUGAGCAAGAGGGAAGUGAAGGCUUUAUUUAAAUUGUGUAAACAGAGAUGAAAGCAAAGUUACUGUUAGAAGAGUUUAACUUUCAUUUCUGUUGGACGUGCCAGGGAAAGUGUGUACUUAUAAAGCAGGAGGUUACAGAGACUGUGUAGCAUUUUAUUGUGCUUAAAGUGUACUGGGACUGUAUGAAAAUCCUUUCAAUUAUGAUUUAAAGGACGGCUUUAUGAUUUGCUUUAAUGUUGCUGGUAUGUGUUGUAAUUCGAGACUUUCUUAUUAAAUUGUCUAUAGGCACCCUGGACCGAGGACCACUGAGAAGAUAGUGAUUCCCCCUGUUAGACUGAGAGCUCUGAGUGGUCCUUGGUUUUGCUUGGGUGUGAAGAUCUCUGGUCCUGGAGGCCGAAGAGGAUUUGUAACCACUUGCCAAGUAAAGGAUUAACAUCUCCCAUUCCUCUUGUGUGCUGAGACUGGACUCAGUAGCCAUUUGAUCAGGACUGCUUGCUCCUUGCUAAAGUACCUACCCUUUGUGCUCCGGGAGUGGCAGGCUUGUCCUGUCAUUGUAUUUUGUAUAUUGCUCUUUAUUUUUAAUAUAUAUUUUAGAUAGAGUUUUUUAGUAUUUUAGAAUAGUAUAUACGUAAAGAGCUACACGUUAUUACUGCCGCUAGUGGUGCUAAGUUUAUUUAGUAUUAUUACAGAUACUUGUGUUAGAAUGUAUUAGUAAUGCUCACAUUUAACAGUUGAAUAGUGAAUUGUUACGUUUACUUGAUAGACUUAUAAAGAUGUACUAGUAUUGCAUAUACUAACCUGUAGGGGAUAAUUUAGCAUCGCUUACAUUUAAAUGUUGAUUUUGACUUAUUAUUCCAAAUAAUUUGUAAUAAAAUACAUGAAAUUA